UACAGAGGUCCCGAGCGUUGUUCGGAUUCACUGGGCGUAAAGGGUGCGUAGGUGGUGAGGUAAGUCGGAUGUGAAAUCUCCGGGCUCAACCCGGAAAUGGCAUUGGAAACUACCUUGCUAGAGGUAUUCAGGGGAGAACGGAAUUCCUGGUGUAGCGGUGAAAUGCGCAGAUAUCAGGAGGAACACCGGUGGCGAAGGCGGUUCUCUGGGAAUGACCUGACGCUGAGGAGCGAAAGUGUGGGGAGCGAACAGG
rnacentral:rRNA from 1 species